UACGUAGGGUGCGAGCGUUGUCCGGAAUUAUUGGGCGUAAAGAGCUCGUAGGCGGUUUGUCGCGUCUGCUGUGAAAACGCGAGGCUCAACCUCGCGCCUGCAGUGGGUACGGGCAGACUAGAGUGCGGUAGGGGAGAUUGGAAUUCCUGGUGUAGCGGUGGAAUGCGCAGAUAUCAGGAGGAACACCGAUGGCGAAGGCAGAUCUCUGGGCUGUAACUGACGCUGAGGAGCGAAAGCGUGGGGAGCGAACAGG
rnacentral:rRNA from 1 species